UCUGGUACCAACACUCCUUCAUCAGUUUCACCAGAGCAGAGAGAGUCUGAGAGAGGGGAGAAAAGACGACCAUCAAACACGACAUGCAAUAGAAGGAAGGUUCCUAUCCCCCAAAUCUAAAUCAAAUAUGGGACAGAAAACACUCAUGUACAGAGCCAUGGUCAGCUGGAAUUCUUUACCGGUCCAUAUCAUUCAGGAACAUUCUCAAGUACAUUUCAAAAGGUUGCAAAAAAAGUAUCUAGUAAAAUUGAACUGUGUCUAGACUCUGUAUUAUUAUGUACAAUUAUUAGUCUUUUUUUGUUUGGCUAAAAUUGGACGACCAUUUUAGUUUCCACUUCAUAUAGCACUUAUAUCACAAUUAUAUUUUUAUUAUAUCACAAUUAUGAGCUGUUUUAUGUGUGUGUGUGUGUGUGUGUGUGUGAGGACCCCAGGAAUGCUCAUGCUAGUGCUAAUGGGGAUCCUAAUAAAGAAUAAGAAUAAAAUGAAGAUGAUAUUUAAGGAUGUCAUGCAGAGAUGCACAUUGAGAGGAAACUAGUAACUACGGGUGACAGCAGCUUUUCGAUUUUUGAAGAGCAUUCUGGGUAUUAACGGGGUCUGGUUAUCUCACUUGCAUCAGUUUAUUUGGCCUUUAUGUAAUCGCAUUGAAUAGUUGCAAAGUACACUGAUGUGAGGGACCAGUCAUGUUUCUUAAGGUUUAUGGCUUGUUUUAAUAUAAUAUUACAUUUAGAUGUUAUAGUUUGUUUAAUAUAAUUUUGGAGUAUGUCAUUAAAAAGUAAUAAGAAGGCCUUAUUAUGGUAUAGUAUGUCGGAUGGUAAUAGUAUAGUAUUCAAAUCUCAAAAAUAUCAUGGUAUAUAACACUGUCAUAGUAUCCAGAUUUUUUUUUUAAUAAAAGGAAGGUCAUAAAAGAGUCAGAGUAAAUACAUUGAUUAAAUAGAGUAAAAGACUAAUACUUACAGGGUCAGAGAACCAGCGGUUAGGAAUGAAAGGCCUCUGCUGCUCCACACACACCACCUUCCUCAUGUCCUCGAAGCUGGGGUCAUUUGGCACCAGAUCGUAGAACGGAGGCUUGUACUCCUCAACAAUACCUGAGGGGUCACAUGAACAUUAUAGAAAUGAGUUAAAGUAAAUAGAGUACAUGGAUAUGCAAGUGGCAAAUUAGGUAUCUCUGAACAGCCGAGCCUGAAGCUGAUAUGCAAAUACAUGUUUAUUAAGUCACAGUCCUCAAAAUGCACAGAAUGACUCACCAUUGCUGUAUGUGCGUCUUGCUAUCUCCCACAGCACCAGCCCAAAGGCCCAGAUGUCCACCCUCUUAUAGGCGUCGAAGCAGUCGAUCUGAAUGCUCUCGUCCAGAACCUCGGGGGCCAUGUAGCGCUUGGUGCCCACCUUGGGGUUGUUGCCCACAUCCAGCUGGUUGUCUGCCUGCGAGUGGGUCACAGCCAGCCCUGCAACAGCCAGUUACACACAGCACUUUAGUCAACCUUAGAAACAAUCUGGGCACAUUCAGAAGUUCUGGCAUGGAUACACACCAGCUGAAAGGUGGACGUAGAGAUGCUUUGAAAAACACAAUGCUGGUUUCCAAACAUUACAAAAUGCUCAGAAGAAAUAGAUGCAUUAUUUACAAUUAUGACUUACAUUUUUUAAAAACACUUUACCAUGACAUUUUUAUGAAUUACUGUACUAUGACUUUUUACCAUGUGAUCUAACCCCUCUGUAAUUGUGUAUCGAUGUCAUCUCUGUCAAAUGUGUGUGGGAAUGUAUUAUAUAUGUUUGUAAUCAAUUCAUCUGUUAAUGCUACUUAAACAUGUAGCAUACAGAGACAAGUCCCAUGGUUAGUCUGAUGCAUAAAGUACUAGACAAAGAGCUCCAACAGGAAGGGACUGAAAUCCCAGAGACGACCAGAAUAAAAGUGGUAGAAAUAAAAGUCUCUGUGUGCGAUGGCCGGUUUCCCCUCUGUGCCGAAGAUCUCCGUGUGCAGGUGCACCAGGCCGCCGGCUAUCGACGCAGCCAUCGCUAAGCCCUCUGACGUCUCCACGGCAACUCGUUGCAAGUAGUCAUAAAGUGAGCCGUUCUCAUGGUAAUGGGUGAUGAGCCACAGCUGGGUGCUGGAGUUGCGAGACGUCAUGUCGGACGCCAUGAAGCCUGGGAGAAGAGACAGCAUCGUGAAAAUAUGUUCUAUUUGCGGUUAUGUCAAUCGUGGUACCUAUCAGUGUGAUGACGCUGGAUUGCAUGAUAUGAUACGCUUUUUAAUGUGUUCACCUCCACAGAAUGUGUCACUGUUUCAAACAUGAAGUUGUUAAGAUACAAGGACAUUGAAGGGAUUUGAGAUGUAUCUACAACAAGGAAAUUGUAUUAUAAACUGUAUUCUUGGAAACAAUAUUAAAACAAAACACUCUGAAAGGAAUGAAUGCAGCAGAGUUGGCAAUAUGACCUAAAAUAAACAUCCAUUAUUUGUG